ACGCCUAGGAUCAUGAAACUUUAUAGGUAGAUUGAUCAUGACUCGCAGAUGACCCCUAUUGAUUUUGAGGUCACUAGGUCAAAGGUCAAGGUCACGGUAACCCGAAAUAGUAAAAUGGUUUUCGGAUGAUAACUCAAGAACGCAUACACUUAGGAUCAUGAAACUUCAUGGGUAGAUUGAUCAUGACUCGCAGAUGACCCCUAUUGAUUUUGAGGUAACUAGGUCAAAGGUCAAGGUCACGGUGACCCGAAAUAGUUAAAUGGUUUCCGGAUGAUAACUCAAGAACGCAUACGCCUAGGAUCAUGAAACUUCAUGGGUAGAUUGAUCAUGACUCGCAGAUGACCCCUAUCAAUUUUGAGGUCACUAGGUCAAAGGUCAAGGUCACGGUGACCCGAAAUAGUAAAAUGGUUUCCGGAUGAUAACUCAAGAACGCAUAUGCCUAGGAUCAUGAAACUUCAUGGGUAGAUUGAUCAUGACUCGCAGAUGACUCCUAUAAAUUUUGAGGUCACUAGGUCAAAGGUCAAGGUCACGGUGACCCGAAAUAGUAAAAUGGUUUCCGGAUGAUAACUCAAGAACGCAUACGCCUAGGAUCAUGAAACUUCAUAGGUAGAUUGAUCAUGACUUGCAGAUGACCCCUAUUGAUUAUCAAGUCUCUAGGUCAAAGGGCAAGGUCACAGUGAUCCGAAAUAGUAAAAUGGUUUCCGGAUGAUAACUCAAGAACGCUUAGGCCUAGGAUCAUGCAACUUGAUAGGUAGAUUGAUCAUGACUCGUAGAUGACCCCUAUUGAUUUUCAGGUCACUAGGUCAAAGGUCAAGGUCACAGUGACCCGAAAUAGUAAAAUGGUUUCCGGAUGAUAACUCAAGAACGCUUAUGCCUAGGAUCAUGAAACUUCAUAGUACAUUGAUCAUGACUCGCAGAUGACCCGUAUUGAUUUUAAGGUCAAAGGUCAAGGUCACGGUGACCCGAAAUAGUAAAAUGGUUUCCGGAUGAUUACUCAAGAACGCUUAUGCCUAGGAUCAUGAAACUUCAUAGGUACAUUGAUCAUGACUCGCAGUUGACCCCUAUUGAUUUUAAGUCACAAGGUCAAAGGUCAAGGUCAUGGUGACCCGAAAUAGGAAAAUGGUUUCCGGGUGAUAACUCAAGAAUGCUUAUGCCUAGUAUCAUUGAACUUGAUAGGUAGAUUGAUCAGGACUCGCAGUUGACCCCUAAUGAUUUUCAGGUCACUAUAUCAAAGGUCAAGGUCACGGUGACCGGAAAUAGUAAAAUGGUUUCCGGAUGAUUACUCAAGAACGCUAAUUGCUAAGAUCAUAAAACUUCAUAGGUACAUUGAUCAGGACUCGCAGAUGACCCCUAUCGAUAUUGCGGUCACUAGAUCAAAGGUCAAGGUCAAUGUGGCAUAAAACAUAUUCACACAAUGGCUGUCACUACAACGGAGAUCCCAUAUGGGGAUCAUGCAUGUUUUACAAACAGCCCUUGUUAUUUUUCGUUUUAUGAUUAUGUACAUACACUUCUUAUAAUUGUGUGUUAUAAAAUGGCGCUUAAAAUGUUUAUUAUAUCGAUAUAACGUUUAAAUGAUUAAAAUGGAAGUUAGAAUUUAG